rnacentral:rRNA from 1 species
ACUGAACGCUGGCGGCAGGCUUAACACAUGCAAGUCGAGCGGUAACAGAGAGAAGCUUGCUUCUCUGCUGACGAGCGGCGGACGGGUGAGUAAUGCCUAGGAAUCUGCCUAGUAGUGGGGGAUAACUUGCCGAAAGGUAAGCUAAUACCGCAUACGUCCUACGGGAGAAAGGAGGGGACCUUCGGGCCUUUCGCGAUUAGAUGAGCCUAGGUCGGAUUAGUUAGUUGGUGAGGUAAUGGCUCACCAAGACCGCGAUCCGUAACUGGUCUGAGAGGAUGAUCAGUCACACUGGAACUGAGACACGGUCCAGACUCCUACGGGAGGCAGCAGUGGGGAAUAUUGGAAAAUGGGGGGAACCCUGAUCCAGCCAUGCCGCGUGUGUGAAGAAGGUCUUAGGAUUGUAAAGCACUUUAAGUUGGGAGGAAGAGCAGUUAACUAAUAUUUGACUGUUUUGACGUUACCGACAGAAUAAGCACCGGCUAACUUCGUGCCAGCAGCCGCCGUAG